rnacentral:misc_RNA from 1 species
GAUGAAGAACGUAGCGAAAUGCGAUAAGUAGUGUGAAUUGCAGAAUUCAGUGAAUCAUCGAAUCUUUGAACGCACAUUGCGCCCCUUGGUAUCCCGAGGGGCAUGCCUGUUCGAGCGUCAUUUCACCACUCAAGCCUGGCUUGGUGUUGGGCGACGUCCUCUUUGGGGACGCGCCUCGAAACGCUCGGCGGCGUGGCACCGGCUUUAAGCGUAGCAGAAUCUUUCGCUUUGGAAGUCGGGGCCCCGUCUGCCGGAAGACCUGCUCGCAAGGUUGACCUCGGAUCAGGCAGGGAUACCCGCUGAACUUAAGCAUAUCAUAAGCGGAGGA